rnacentral:tRNA from 1 species
GCUGACUUGGCAGAUUGGAUUGCGUUGAAUUUAGAAUUCGAAGAGGUAUGGUUACAGUCAGCA